UGUUGGCAAAUAAUUCAGAACACUAAGUAAUUCAGAACACUAAUUAACCGUUGAUUUUCUCUUCCCUCUCAGCACCUCUCAUUAACAACAUCAAUUCAGAAACCGUAAAUUCAGAGAAUCAGAAUAUCAUUCUAUCUUCAUCUCACUCUUUUCCCCCACCGUGUGGUUAGUGGUGGAGCGCAAAGCUGAGAGCUCAUACUUGAACUAAACUCAGCCUCAUCUCAGUUUGCCUCUUUCUCUCUAUGCGUGUGAUUGUGGAACCUCAAGCUGUGUGCUUGUUACCAUCAUUUUCCUAUACGUCAACCUUAGGAGAAGAGCAACGAGAAACAAAAUUCCCAUCAUAUACACUGACUUCCCUUUUAUUCAAGCCGUGAGCUUUCCUAAGGUAAUAACCCAACCUCCAAGCUUUCCUUCUCCCUUCCUGCAUCACUCGGCUGAGUUACAACCAGAGGAGUUUGCUGCUCCCUGGUGUUUGGCCUAGACCUCUCAUUUAAGGAGCUGAAACGGACCCCUUGGAAGCUCGAGGAAGAAGGACUGCCUUGAGCGAUUGGUGGCUGUGCUCGUAACCCUUAUUGUGUGGGCUGAAUUUUGGUGCCGAUUGAUUAUUGUUUGGACAUAAGAAAAUGGCAGGAGGACGUAAAAGCUUUUGAGGACUUGGAUAUUUGCUGUUGGCUUCUACUGUUUUGGGCAUGCUGCUAUUGAUGUGAUAUUUUAUGAAUGACUGUAUGAAAUUGAGAAGCGUUUAUUACUGCGAACUAUGAUUUUAUUAUUGCAUUACGAUUUUAUUACCAGCAAGUAUUUUGGAAACAGAUGUUGAAACGUUUGCGAAAAGUAUUUUGACAUGUUAUCUAAAUGCUGAGUUUUGAAAAGUCUUUGCGAGCACUUUGUAAGUUGUUGUACUAGGGCUACGGACCACCGAUUUUCUUAUAAGUUAUAUGCACGCGUAGCCCUAGGUGUCUAGUUUCAUUAUAUAUAAACCUUGCAAAGAAAUUCUGAAAGCUCAAUUUUAAGUUAUUAUGAAUUUUACCAGCCAGGACGUUUGUGAUUGUUUCACUGUUUUAUCUCUUAUUUUGCGAGUUAUGUUUCAAGGGGAAAACGAACUCCAAAUCACUAUUAUUUUAUAUGAACGUGAAGCCCCAGAUGUUUAGUUUCCAGAUUACAAAGAAUAUUUUUUUGAAUCGUUGAACUGGAUUUUAUACGAAUUUUUAAAGACAACAAGGUUUAUCAGGAAAUUUAUAUUUUUAGUAAGUUUAAGAAAUUUUGAAAGUAACUCUGAUUUUUUUGUAACGAACCUAAUUUCAAUUAUAAGUUUUAAGUUGCAACAUCAAAAUGAAUUUUUUUCAGUCUCUAAAAUACUAUUAAAGAACUCUAAUUCCGCUUAGCAAACAACUUUCUUGGAGGCCUACAAGAGAGGGUGUUACAGAAAGG